UUUCUUAAGGUGGAGUCUCGCACUGUCACCUGGGCUGGAGUGCAGUGGCAUGAUCUCGGCUCACUACAACCUUUGCCUCUUGGGUUCAAGUGAGUCUCCUGUCUCAGCCUCCCAAGUAGCUGGGAUUACAAGUGCCCACCACCACGCCCAGCUAAUUUUUUGUAUUUUUAGUAGAGACAGGGUUUCACCAUGUUGGCCAGGCUGGUCUCAAACUCCUGACCUUGUGAUUUGCCUGACUUGGCCUCCCAAAGUGCUGGGAUUACAGGCUUGAGCCACCAUGCCCGGCCAAGACUAUUUUUUAGAACCAUAACCACAAUACAGUUACCACACUUUUGAAAGUCGAUGGGAAUUCCUUAAUAUUUAAAUUUCUCAAUAGGCUAAUUUUUAUUUUUAGGGAUGGGGGCUUGCUGUAUUGACGAGACUGGAGUGCAGUGGCUAUUCCUGAGUAUUGUCAUAGUGACUACACCUCAAACACCUGGGCUCACAUGAUCCUCCUGCCUCAGUGUCCCGAGUAGUAGUGCAGGGACUAUAGGCACUUACCGCUGUGAUCUGCUUAGCUCAUACAUUUUAAAAAAAUAGUUGGUUCAAAUCAGGAUCCGAAAAAGUUACAUAAAUUGUGUUUGAUUAAUGCGUAUCUUGGGUCUCUUUUAGAUCUAGAGUGUCUCUCAUCUUUUUUAAGAAACAUUAUUUGUUGAAGAAAAUGAGUAAUUCUGUAUAAUUCCCCACAUUCUAGACUUUACUGAUUGUAUCCCCAUGAUUUCUCUGCCUCUUGUGUUUCCUGUUAACUAUAGUAACUAUAAGUUAAAUACGGAAGUUUGUGAUUAAGGUGUUUUUUUAUUUUUUUUUUUAUUUUUAUUUUUUUUUGGGAGACAAGAUCUUUCUCUGUUGCCCAGGGUGGAGUGCAGUGGUGCCAUCUCGGCUCAUUGAACCUCUGAUUGCUGGGCUCAAGCAAUCCUCCCACCUCAUCCUCCUGAGUAGCUGGGACUACAGGCGUGUACCACCAAGCCCAGCCAACAUUUAUAUUUUUUGUAGAGAUGGGAUCUCACCAUGUUGCCCAUGCUUGAUUUUUAAUAAGAAUACUUCAUUGGUGGUAUUUAUAGAUUUUGAUUUAUUUCCAAAUUGUUCUUUCAAAAGUUUCAUUUUAUCUAGUCAUUUUACAGGACAGCUUUUAUCAGUUCCUGGUAUAAAAUCCUUUUAGCCUCAGCCUUAUAAUAUGAAUAUCUAUACAUACAUAAUACUUCAUACACACACGAUAUACAUAUAUUCCCAUGUAUAUAUAUGUGUGUGUGUCAGCCACUUACAUGUCCUGUUACUCUUCUAUGAAUCUUAAAUUUGAUAUUGCUGUUUUGAAUCUACUUCAUCCCCUAUGCCUUCUAUAUUCUCUCUGCUUGAAAUCUACCCUCACUAUCUUGAAUGAUGAAGCCUGGUGACAACUUUUUAGAUAAUUUUAUGUAAGAUAAUUAUUUGCUAAGUCAUCCAGUGACAUACUCGGGUAUUGUUUGUCUCCCUACCAGCAGCAUCUAGUAGGUACUUCAAAAUCAGAGCACUUUAUUCUGUAUUUUUAAUUUUUUCUGUCUUUGCCUCUUACCCAGGAAUGCAAACUCAGAUGUCUAUCCACAGAGGCCUAAAGUGGGCUGUAACAUGGUUUGGCAAACUUUUUCUGUAAAUAGCCAGAUAGUAAAUAUUUUUAGCUUUUGAGUAGUUUUGUGGGCAACUACUCAACCCUGUACUCUGCUGUUGUUGCUUGAAAGCAGCCAUAGACAAACCGUAAACAAGUGAGGCUGACUUUGUUCCAAUUUAUCCCAUUUCUUUGCUUUUAAAAAAAUACCUGUGUAUUCGCUUAGCUGGAGUUGGUCUACAGGCUGUAGUUUGCUGACCCCAGGACUAGAGGUUUGUUGCCAUGUGUGAAUUUGUACUUAAUCUACUCAGAUUAAAAGAAAGAAAAGCUGGAAAAUCACUGUAUUUGAUGAAAUAUCCCAUUGUAUAAGUGUUCCCAAAUUAGCCUAGAAUGUUAUGAAAUAUUAUGAGCCAGUAAUGUCUAUAGGCUUAUUUCUGCCUGAAGGCUACUAGUUUUAUCUUGAGAAUCUCAUCCUCAUUUCCUGGCAAAAUGAGCACAGAAUAAAUGCUUGUUGAAUAAAUAAAUAAAUGAACUUCAUACAUUAUUAAUUUGUUUUUGUUUUCUCAAACUACUAGGAAAUUUUGUCUGUGGCUAAAAAAAAUAAAAAGGAGAAUGAGGAUGAAAACUCCUCCUCUACUAAUCUCUGUGUGGAAGAUCUUCAGAAAAAUAAAGAUUCGAAUAGUAUAAUUAAAGAUAGAUUGUCUGAAACGGUUAGGCAGAAUACUAAAUUCUUUUUUGACCCAGUCCGGAAGUGUAAUGGUCAGCCAGUACCUUUUCAACAACCAAAGCACUUCACUGGAGGAGUGAUGCGAUGGUACCAAGUAGAAGGCAUGGAAUGGCUUAGGGUAAUGAAUUGGAAUUUUUAAUACAAGAUACUGGUUUUAUUUCUAUAGUAGCCUAAUGAUUUGAGGUACCACAACUUGAGUCAUUUCUAUCAUGUUUCACUAUUAUACAUUUGUAUGUGGAUACUUGCUUUCUGAUUUCUUUACCCUGAAUUUUUAGAAGUAGAAAUUACCUUGUUAAUGGCUUCCAGCACUUUUAUGGCUUUGAUAAAGGACUUUCCAGUGUUGUUAUAAUUUAUGGUGUGAAUAUAUCAGCUUUAACAU
rnacentral:lncRNA from 10 species